GACGAACGCUGGCGGCGUGCUUAACACAUGCAAGUCGAACGGAAAGACCCUGCUUUUGUGGGGUGCUCGAGUGGCGAACGGGUGAGUAACACGUGAGUAACCUGCCCUUGACUUUGGGAUAACUUCAGGAAACUGGGGCUAAUACCGGAUAGGAGCUCCUGCUGCAUGGUGGGGGUUGGAAAGUUUCGGCGGUUGGGGAUGGACUCGCGGCUUAUCAGCUUGUUGGUGGGGUAGUGGCUUACCAAGGCUUUGACGGGUAGCCGGCCUGAGUGGGUGACCGGCCACAUUGGGACUGAGAUACGGCCCAGACUCCUACGGGAGGCAGCAGUGGGGAAUAUUGCACAAUGGGCGGAAGCCUGAUGCAGCAACGCCGCGUGCGGGAUGACGGCCUUCGGGUUGUAAACCGCUUUCGCCUGUGACGAAGCGUGAGUGACGGUAAUGGGUAAAGAAGCACCGGCUAACUACGUG
rnacentral:rRNA from 1 species